GUAGCUUCCUUGUCGUGUGGCCUCAGUCCUUCGCCGUCCCUCGCCGUCCUUCGCCAUCGCACGCCACCGCACCCCAUCUCUCGAAAUCUGCAGACAUCUUGAUUUUUCCCACGCUGUCUGUCAGGUCUCCGCCGCCACUCGACGCCAGGGCGCCGGGUGAGUCCACAGCAGGGCGCAUGGUCGGCUCCACUCUCACCAUCGGGGGAAACUGAGGCCCCGGGGAAGGCGGCCAGAGAGGUCAGGCCCUGUCCUUGGUGCAGUGUCUCGUCCUCUUUGCCGGAGUGAGCCCCCCAGGAUUCGCGUGUCCUCGGGAAAGACACUGGCGGGCCUUGUGGGCUGUGCUGCACCUCGGACGGCUUCGCACCAGCCAGCGCCCUCUCUCUCCUGCAGCACUCUGAUCUGCACCCCCUGAGGGGCUUCCACUGUCCGCGGGGUGAGAAUGCCCCUGGGAGUGUCACAUGACUGCCGCCCCAUGUGUGUGAGAGGCGUCCUCUGGGAGAGCAUGGAUCCUGAGGUCCCAGGAUUGUCAGCUGACCUCUGUCCUGUGUGCCCAGUGGCCCCAGGUGACGUGUCUUCAAGAAGAGGCUGAGCUGCGGUGCUUGUAAGAGUCAUGUGCUGUUCCUGGGGCUUGGAUGAUGUAGGGGAAGCAAGGUGAAAGUGGUAUCCCGUGGUUCCACGUUCUGUCCUGCUGUGGGGCUGUCCCUCACAUGCUUUCAGUGGCUGUUGCAGAGGAAGAGCCUCCGGAAAUCUGCGUCUCAGCCUUAGAUCCAAGGACAGUCCAAGGAAGUCCUAAGACCAUGGAGUUGGUGAUCUAGGAUCUGGGUUUGCUGAUAUUUCUCACCGUGAAUCUCUUGGUGGUGUUUGUGGGCACGAGAGGGGCAGAGAAUGGAGAGUGAGGCUACCACAUGAAGCGUCACCAGAGCUGCUCCCUGCUGCCUGCUCAGAGCACCCCGGAUCCACUGUUCAAUCUGCACAAGAUUCGGGGUCCAGACAUGGGAGACUUCAGCUGCCUCAGAGGACCGUGGACAGGGAAGGCCAGCCUCGCAUCCCUCUGUCCAUGCCUGGAAUGACUUUAAUAACCAAGAGUUUUAUUUUUGAAUUUGUAGCUGUCGUUCACUUUUUACCCACCCAUUCAAUAAACCUUACAGAAUUGC
rnacentral:sRNA from 1 species